UUCGCGAAAGCGUUGCUAAUACCAGAUAUUGUUUCAUUAACUUAGGUUUUUGUAAUGAAAGGUGACCUCUUCAUGAAAGUUGCCGUUCGGGGAUGGGCUCGCGUACCAUUAGCUAGUUGGUGGGGUAAUGGCCUACCAAGGCUACGAUGGUUAGCUGGUCUGAGAGGAUGAUCAGCCACACUGGAACUGAAACACGGUCCAGACUCCUACGGGAGGCAGCAGUGAGGAAUUUUGCGCAAUGGGGGAAACCCUGACGCAGCAACGCCGCGUGAGUGAAGAAGGCUUUCGGGUCGUAAAGCUCUGUCAGAUAGGAAAAAAGUUCAUUAGUUAAUAGCUACUGAAUCUGAUGGUACUAUCAGAGGAAGCACCGGCUAACUCCGUGCCAGCAGCCGCGGUAAUACGGAGGGUGCAAGCGUUGUUCGGAAUUAUUGGGCGUAAAGAGCGUGUAGGCGGGAUAGUUAGUCAGAUGUGAAAGCCCUGGGCUUAACCCAGGAAGUGCAUUUGAUACUGCUAUUCUUGAGUAUGGGAGAGGAGAGUAGAAUUCCCAGUGUAGAGGUGAAAUUCGUAGAUAUUGGGAGGAAUACCCGUGGCGAAGGCGACUCUCUGGACCAAUACUGACGCUGAGACGCGAAAGCGUGGGGAGCAAACAGGAUUAGAUACCCUGGUAGUCCACGCCGUAAACGAUGAGAACUAGGUGUAGCGGGUAUUGACCCCUGCUGUGCCGAAGUUAACGCAUUAAGUUCUCCGCCUGGGGAGUACGGCCGCAAGGCUAAAACUCAAAGGAAUUGACGGGGACCCGCACAAGCGGUGGAGCAUGUGGUUUAAUUCGACGCAACGCGAAGAACCUUACCUGGAUUUGACAUCCUCUGACCUCCAUGGAAACAUGGCUUUUUAUGCUUGCAUAAACAGAGUGACAGGUGCUGCAUGGCUGUCGUCAGCUCGUGUCGUGAGAUGUUGGGUUAAGUCCCGCAACGAGCGCAACCCUUGUUUUUAGUUGCCAUUAUUAAGUUAGGCACUCUAGAAAUACUGCCUCGGUUAACGGGGAGGAAGGUGGGGAUGACGUCAAGUCCUCAUGGCCUUUAUAUCCAGCCUACACACGUGCUACAAUGGACUGUACAAAGAGUUGCCACUUCGCGAGAAGGAGCUAAUUUCAAAAAGCAGUUCUCAGUUCGGAUUGGAGUCUGCAACUCGACUCCAUGAAGUUGGAAUCGCUAGUAAUCGUGGAUCAGCAUGCCACGGUGAAUACGUUCCCGGGUCUUGUACACACCGCCCGUCACACCACGAAAGUCGGCUGUACCAGAAGUUGCUGGGCUAACCCUUCGGGGAUGCAGGUACCUAAGGUACGGUCGGUAAUUGGGGUGAAGUU
rnacentral:rRNA from 1 species